rnacentral:lncRNA from 1 species
AUGUAUACAUUAAGUAGACGAAGAAAAAGAAACCGUAACUGCGUCGAAUCGCAUCGUCACAACACACGCGCGCGUGAACCUUCCCCUUGUCUUCUUUUUUGUUUGUUUGUUUGUUUAACUUUGACCUCAGGCGUCAACGAUUUGGUCACCGAAGCCGAAGGGCGAUAUCGAUGAUAAGAGUAACUGUGUCGCGCUUGCUUGCGGUGAAAUGUAACCUCUCAGGUGAUUUAGGGUUUAUUUCGAUCUAUGUUUGUUUUUCUUCUCUUCGAGAUUUUGCCUUUGUCUUCUAGUUUUUCAUUUAGGGUUUUGCGAAUCCGAUUAAUUGGUCGAUGUAACAGUUUCAAACUCCGAUUUCUAUGUUUUCCAACAAAAUCAAUAUGUGUAAUCUGUAGGUGAUGGGAUCAACAGUUUGAAUCUCUUAUUCGCUAGUGUGGUCUCUUCAGGGUUUUAUUAUUAGUUACAUAAACGUGAACAUAAUUAGAGAUUAAUUUUGCAGUUUACAGUAGCAAUGUGCUACUCAUCGAUUUGAUCGAGGUGACUCGAAGGAUCCACAGGCGAUUCGGGAGGAUAUGUGAGAGGUAAUAGAGUUAACAAAUUCUACUUAAAUCUUUGAGAUUAGUUCUUAUCUGAAAUGACUGUGCAAAUUGAACAACAGGGCUCUUGUGUGUGUAGAAAUCAGGAUGAGAGAAUUAAGUAAGCUAAUUUUUUUUGUUUACCAUACUCUUAGAGAAACAACAGUUAGUUGAUGUUGUAUGUGUUAGAUAAAAGUAUACGUUAAAUGAGAUUAGGAAAGGGUUAAUUAGUCACGUAAUACACUCACUUGUGGGGGAAGUAGAAUUUUACAUAUAUAUCAAAUAAAUAAAAAACUUUGUGGGAAAGUGAGGUUGUGAGGUUUAAAUAGUGUAUGGUGUAGGUAAUGGCAGGCCCUUGACGAUGCCACAGAGAUUGGUGUUGAGUGGGAUGUUGUAUUCGUCUCUUAGUGAUUUCUCAGGUGAGAGAACACUGACGUACAUUUGCUGGCCCAAGUAUCUCCUCUCCCAGUUCUCUGAUCUGAUGUUCCACAUACCGGCAUUGUCGAAUGUCAACAAGAUCGCUGACCACGACUUUGGGAACACUUGCACGGUGUGUCU